GGCCCGCCUCCAGAUCGCGCGCUGGGGAGGGGCGGCCCUGGCGCUGACCCCGCCCCGGAAGCCCGGGUCCGCAGGCUGGCUAACCUCCGGGAGGGGCGCGCAGCGCUCUUCGCCGCGGACAGCUCGGUGUGAGGUGUGGUGGAAUGCUCACAUUUUGAGAGGCAGGUUGGAACGAGGACCCACAGGAGGAACAACAGGAAUCACAAGAUCGGUACGCUGAAAAAAAACCCUGUCAUGUCUAAAUAAAGCCAGUAGUUCUUUCAAGAAGUAUGAAAUAAAGAUCCCAAGUGAUCAGAAA